UGAGGUGAUGACGCCAAGGAUCAAGCUGA
rnacentral:piRNA from 1 species